rnacentral:rRNA from 1 species
AAGCUCGUAGUUGAAUUUCGGGGUUAGUAGGUUGGUCAUGCCUCUGGUAUGUACUGGUCUCACUGAUUCCUCCUUCCUUAUGAACCGUAAUGCCAUUAAUUUGGUGUUGCGGGGGAAUUUGGACUGUUAUUUUGAAAAAAUUAGAGUGUUUAAAAGCAAGCUAACGCUUGAAUACAUUAGCAUGGAAUAAUGAAAUAGGACGUUCGAUCUUAUUUUGUUGGUUUCUAGGUAUUGACGUAAUGAUUAAUAGGGAUAGUUGGG